UCCUUCUUGGUGUAGUGGUUAACACCUUCACCUUCUGCUGUUAUGAAGUUGGAAGGUCUGGUGUUCGAAUCCCCUUGAUGGAU